UUGAAGGAUCUCUCUUCCUUCUAGCCUGCGAGAAUUUCAUUUUCAGUUUUUUUGCCAUUUUAGCUAAAGGAAUAUUACUUUUUAAUAAUUAAACAAAAACAAAAAUUUUGUAGCACUCGAAUGGCUUUUCAGUAUUUUGAAUGACAAGCUCAAGCCGGUUCAGAGCGAGUUUGCAACGAUCAUCGGCGGACGGCAAACUUGCAGACAGACCAGGGCCACAAAUCCUAAGAUUUCUACAGUUUUCCACUCUUAUCUCGAUUAGAAAUAUCAUCUAUGAAGAAAAGACUUCGAAAGGUUGUUACUGAAAAAUUGAAAACAAGUUUAAAAUCAUAUUUUGAGUCUUAUUUGGACGAACGAAACGCACUUAUCGAGUAAUAAACUUAAGCUUAAAAUUGUUUUUGUUUUUGCUACUGAAUUUGCAAAAAAUGAAAAUAUUUUGCUUCUUGAAAUCUAGAGAAAGUGAAUAGACAAGUUGUUGGUAACUAAAACAAUUAGAUAAUAACUUUUGCCAGGGUUUUACACGGAUUUUGUGAGUAAAUUGUUGAAAUAACGCAAGUGUUUUAAGGUAGUUUAUCGGGGCGUUGAAUUCAGGUUUCUCACCGUUGAAUUCCACUUGAAAUACCCUCUCAUCCGGUUGACGUGUUGACCAAUCAACGCACGACUUUAAAAWUGAGGUAUGAGAUUCUAACUGGACUCGUCGCUUUAGURUUACAAACGAAGUCCGUUUAGUGUAGGCUUUGUCGUUGGAGCAGCAGGAGAGAAGAACGGGAAAGUAACACUUUUUGUUUCUGCUCUGCAAAACAAACAAAAAAUUCAUUCAUUCAUUUUGACCUGUUGUCAGUGGUGUACGUUGCACGUGAAAAUUUGUGUGAAAACUAAAACUUUGCAUAAUAAUGUUUUGUUUUUAACAAUUGAUGUCAUUAAGAUACUGAAACAAGGAUGAUUCCCUAUUAAUAUUCAUAACCCACAUUACUGUUCGGUCGUGCAACUUUCAUUGUAUUUUCACUUGCAAUUCGAUAUUUCUUAUAGAGUUGGGCGUGACGCUCCACUAUCCGGAGUUCAUCAAAAUUUUCAACCAAAAUAUCACGAUAUCCUGUGCAAAAGGGGGUGUUUUAUCUAUAAAAACAAAGCGCGAUCGCCAUGUUUAGGAACAGCUUAGAAUUACAAUUAGACAGCACGAUGUCCUUCUACUGAAUACCGCUUUUCUAUCUCAGAUAUUUGACAGCUCUUUUUGACUUUUUAGGAACCAUCUUCACCAUSCGAAUGUAGGAUGAUAACUGUAAGUGACCAGUKGUUUCCAGUUUGAGAUAUUAAUAGUCGCAGAAGGCUACCCGCACAACUUCUCUCUGUCUAUAGCUACUUUCCUCGCUAAUACCCAACUUCUCCACCCACUUGUAUUGUCCCUUUGUUACUUUUUUGUGUUUUUUUUGGCUGGUUUGAUUUUAAUARCAGACAGUUGAAUGUACGACGAACGUUGGAAGAUUAAGUGAUGUCUCACUUUGAGUGAAGGCUCGGCUACCUUUCAAGUUGGAGCUGGGAACUGGAAAAUGGAGAAGGAUUUGUCGUCAUUUCUAUAUAUGGAUGAGCAUUAGGAUUCAAACUAGUGAUAUGCAAAUUAAUUAAUAAACUUAACAAAAGAAAUAUAAAAAUAAAGAAAUAAACCCCAMCGUUCACCAUUACAGUGUCCUUUUAGACGUCGAUGUAUUUCUAUGACGUCACGUUCAUGUUAUGUGACGUCAUAUUUUAAAGGCCCCUCCCCCUCACGCAUUGCUAAUGCAAUUAUUAUUUGUUUGUUUCAUUCUGAUUGGAUUUCGUUAAUGUUGUUUUUUUUAGGCAAUCGCGAGUUAUGACAUGGAAGAAGAACGUGAAGAAAAAAUAUUUUUACCGGUGGAAGAGAUUCUUGUACAAAUACCGGUAAGUUCGUUGUAAAUAUUGCUAAUCAAAUAUAGUCCAGCCGUCCUUGCAUCCAUCCAUCAAUUGACAGAGCAGUUCAACUAGAUCAAUGUCUYYCAAUUUUUCUCAAUAUACAGUAGAAAACCGCAUAUAAGAGCCUAAAAAUUAAGAACCUGUUAGGCUAAGAUUUGGAUCUUAUAGCCCACGUUCUUAAUUUUUAAAUCAUUUAAGUCGCAAUACAGCUUCAGAGCAAGAUUCCUAUUUGAAGAAAAACAAGAUGAAGAUGAAUGUAAAAAGGGUUAUAUCUUGUUUUAAAGCUAAGUUUUAUUUGCUUUAAUCUAGAAUUAAGAAUCUAUUUUAAGAACCUGAGUAGUUUAAAAUUGUGUUAACUACCAUUUAUACAAGAACCUGUUAUGGCGAUGAGAAUUGAAAAAUUUAGAUCAAGGAUCUAUCGCGUCCUUCUUCCAUAUAUGAGAUUCAAGACCCGAUACGAGAUUUAAGUCUAUAAAUUGUACUGUGUGUUUCGAAUAUUUGAACAUCUCACUUUUCUAAGCACUUUAAACGCUAUUAUUAGAGUUUUGAACCAUCUGACAUUCGUUUUAUGGUAAUAUUUGGGUACA